rnacentral:rRNA from 1 species
AUUGAACGCUGGCGGCAUGCCUUACACAUGCAAGUCGAACGGCAGCGGACCUUCGGGUGCCGGCGAGUGGCGAACGGGUGAGUAAUGCAUCGGAACGUACCUUUCAGUGGGGGAUAACGUAGCGAAAGUUACGCUAAUACCGCAUAUUCUGUGAGCAGGAAAGCAGGGGAUCGCAAGACCUUGCGCUGAUUGAGCGGCCGAUGUCAGAUUAGCUAGUUGGGGAGGUAAAGGCUCACCAAGGCGACGAUCGGUAUCGGGUCUGAGAGUCUGAUCCGCCACACUGGAACUGAGACACGGUCCAGACUCCUACGGGAGGCAGCAGUGGGGAAUUUUGGACAAUGGGGGCAACCCUGAUCCAGCCAUGCCGCGUGAGUGAAGAAGGCCUUCGGGUUGUAAAGCUCUUUCGGCCGGGAAGAAAUCGCACGGGCUAAUACCCUGUGUGGAUGACGGUACCGGAAUAAGAAGCACCGGCUAACUACGUGCCAGCCGCCGCCGUAAUAC